GUAACUCAGCGGUAGAGUGCUUGCUUCCCAAGCAAGACGUCGAGGGUUCGAAUCCCUUC
rnacentral:tRNA from 1 species